ensembl:lncRNA
AGUUGCUCAGGCCUUUUGAUGCUCAUCUGUUCAUUUGAGCUUAGCUCUGCUUUUAACUUACUCGAUUCUCUUCCCCUUCUCCUCAGAGAACCAGCUGGAAAGCCUGCCCGCAACUUGCUCGCUCACCUUCUUUGCCCACUCUCACCCCACAUGCUGGAACGCUUACCUGCCUCACACAGCCAAGUGCUGCCACCAUUAAUCCUGUGGAGAGAAGGAGAAAGUGUUUGGUCUGGAAACUGGGCAAUUUAGAAGUGGUUUCCAGAAGGAGCAGAUCGGAUUCUUUGUGAGCGGGAAAACAGAAUCUUGUACUUGUUGUAUACAGAUGAUGGUGAUGCAAAGGAUCGGGUAAUUGUUGGAGCCGUGUGGAGCUGCUGAUGACAAAGGAAAUGAAAAUACAGGAGUUGUUUUCACACUGUAGACUGUACAUAAAAGAUGGAUGCAACCACUCUAACAUCACCCAGUGGAUUCUGUCAGUAGUUGCUGAUUGCUUAAAAUCGGUUAACAGCAUUGCACUUUAUGGAUACAGAUUGUUAACUAAUCUUGCUAGUGUUAGCACUUCCACCGAGGACUGUAUAUUAAAGAUGGACAUACCCACUAUGACAUCACCUGUUGGUUUCUUGAAAGGCCCAGUGUCAGCAUUUUGGCUGUCAAAAGCCAGAAGUAACAAUGUAGAGGCUGAAAUGGUCCAUCAAUAAAUCCAAAAAUAUCUGCUAAUUAGCGCUAAAUAACAGAUAAAAACUGUAUAUUUAAUAAGACAGCAGUCGGAAUUUCCAAGUUCCCAGUCAGUCAGUUUAAUCUGAAAUAACCCAUCAACUCAAAUUUCCCUCUCAGAAAAUCAGACCAGCACCAG